rnacentral:rRNA from 1 species
UACGUAGGCAGCAAGCGUUGUUCGGAGUUACUGGGCGUAAAGAGUGCGUAGGUGGUGCCCUAAGUCUGUUGUGAAAUCUCCCGGCUUAACUGGGAGGGUGCGAUGGAAACUGGGGUGCUUGAGUGUGGGAGAGGUAAGCGGAAUUCCUGGUGUAGCGGUGAAAUGCGUAGAUAUCAGGAGGGACACCGGUGGUGUAGACGGCUUACUGGACCACGACUGACACUGAGGCACGAAAGCGUGGGUAGCAAACAGG